rnacentral:rRNA from 1 species
AGACCCGAAACCCGGUGAUCUAGCCAUGGGCAGGUUGAAGGUUGGGUAACACUAACUGGAGGACCGAACCGACUAAUGUUGAAAAAUUAGCGGAUGACCUGUGGCUGGGGGUGAAAGGCCAAUCAAACCGGGAGAUAGCUGGUUCUCCCCGAAAGCUAUUUAGGUAGCGCCUCGUGAACUCAUCUCCGGGGGUAGAGCACUGUUUCGGCUAGGGGGCCAUCCCGGCUUACCAACCCGAUGCAAACUGCGAAUACCGGAGAAUGUUAUCACGGGAGACACACGGCGGGUGCUAACGUCCGUCGUGAAGAGGGAAACAACCCAGACCGCCAGCUAAGGUCCCAAAGUCAUGGUUAAGUGGGAAACGAUGUGGGAAGGCCCAGACAGCCAGGAUGUUGGCUUAGAAGCAGCCAUCAUUUAAAGAAAGCGUAAUAGCUCACUGGUCGAGUCGGCCUGCGCGGAAGAUGUAACGGGGCUAAACCAUGCACCGAAGCUGCGGCAGCGAACGUAUCACCCAAGACAACUUUGCGGAGUUGACGAUUGACGGAGCGAAGCGACGUCAAAGCGUUCAUUAAAGUCGAGUUGGCUUAGGGAUACGUUCGUUGGGUAGGGGAGCGUUCUGUAAGCCAGUGAAGGUGUGUCGUGAGGCAUGCUGGAGGUAUCAGAAGUGCGAAUGCUGACAUAAGUAACGAUAAAGCGGGUGAAAAGCCCGCUCGCCGGAAGACCAAGGGUUCCUGUCCAACGUUAAUCGGGGCAGGGUGAGUCGACCCCUAAGGCGAGGCCGAAAGGCGUAGUCGAUGGGAAACGGGUUAAUAUUCCCGUACUUGGUGUUACUGCGAAGGGGGGACGGAGAAGGCUAUGUUGGCCGGGCGACGGUUGUCCCGGUUUAAGCGUGUAGGUGUGUGUUCCAGGUAAAUCCGGUUCACUUUAACACUGAGGCGUGAUGACGAGGCACUACGGUGCUGAAGCAACAAAUGCCCUGCUUCCAGGAAAAGCCUCUAAGCAUCAGGUAACAUCAAAUCGUACCCCAAACCGACACAGGUGGUCAGGUAGAGAAUACCAAGGCGCUUGAGAGAACUCGGGUGAAGGAACUAGGCAAAAUGGUGCCGUAACUUCGGGAGAAGGCACGCUGACACGUAGGUGAAGUGAUUUACUCAUGGAGCUGAAGUCAGUCGAAGAUACCAGCUGGCUGCAACUGUUUAUUAAAAACACAGCACUGUGCAAACACGAAAGUGGACGUAUACGGUGUGACGCCUGCCCGGUGCCGGAAGGUUAAUUGAUGGGGUCAGCGCAAGCGAAGCUCCUGAUCGAAGCCCCGGUAAACGGCGGCCGUAACUAUAACGGUCCUAAGGUAGCGAAAUUCCUUGUCGGGUAAGUUCCGACCUGCACGAAUGGCGUAAUGAUGGCCAGGCUGUCUCCACCCGAGACUCAGUGAAAUUGAACUCGCUGUGAAGAUGCAGUGUACCCGCGGCAAGACGGAAAGACCCCGUGAACCUUUACUAUAGCUUGACACUGAACAUUGAGCCUUGAUGUGUAG